rnacentral:rRNA from 1 species
GAUGAACGCUAGCGGCAGGCUUAACACAUGCAAGUCGAGGGGUAACGGGGAAGCUUGCUUCCGCCGACGACCGGCGCACGGGUGCGUAACGCGUAUACAAUCUACCUUGUACUGGGGUAUAGCCUUUAGAAAUGAAGAUUAAUCCCCCAUAGUCUCUUAGAGUGGCAUCACUUCUAGAGUAAAGGUUACGGUAUAAGAUGAGUAUGCGUUCUAUUAGUUUGUUGGUGUGGUAACGGCACACCAAGACUACGAUAGAUAGGGGCCCUGAGAGGGGGAUCCCCCACACUGGUACUGAGACACGGACCAGACUCCUACGGGAGGCAGCAGUGAGGAAUAUUGGACAAUGGAGGCAACUCUGAUCCAGCCAUGCCGCGUGCAGGAAGACUGCCCUAUGGGUUGUAAACUACUUUUAUACAGGAAGAAACACCUCUACGUGUAGAGGCUUGACGGUACUGUAAGAAUAAGGAUCGGCUAACUCCGUGCCAGCAGCCGCGGUAAUACGGAGGAUCCAAGCGUUAUCCGGAAUCAUUGGGUUUAAAGGGUCCGUAGGUGGAUAAUUAAGUCAGAGGUGAAAUCUUGCAGCUCAACUGUAAAAUUGCCUUUGAAACUGGUUAUCUUGAGUUAUUAUGAAGUAGUUAGAAUAUGUAGUGUAGCGGUGAAAUGCAUAGAUAUUACAUAGAAUACCAAUUGCGAAGGCAGAUUACUAAUAAUCAACUGACACUGAUGGACGAAAGCGUGGGUAGCGAACAGGAUUAGAUACCCUGGUAGUCCACGCCGUAAACGAUGGUUACUAGCUGUUUGGACUUCGGUCUGAGUGGCUAAGCGAAAGUGAUAAGUAACCCACCUGGGGAGUACGUUCGCAAGAAUGAAACUCAAAGGAAUUGACGGGGGCCCGCACAAGCGGUGGAGCAUGUGGUUUAAUUCGAUGAUACGCGAGGAACCUUACCAGGGCUUAAAUGUAAGUUGCAUUAGUUAGAGAUAGCUAUUUCUUCGGACCACUUACAAGGUGCUGCAUGGUUGUCGUCAGCUCGUGCCGUGAGGUGUCAGGUUAAGUCCUAUAACGAGCGCAACCCCUGUUGUUAGUUGCCAGCGAGUCAUGUCGGGAACUCUAACAAGACUGCCAGUGCAAACUGUGAGGAAGGUGGGGAUGACGUCAAAUCAUCACGGCCCUUACGUCCUGGGCUACACACGUGCUACAAUGGUAGGUACAGAGAGCAGCCACUGCGCGAGCAGGAGCGAAUCUAUAAAACCUAUCACAGUUCGGAUCGGAGUCUGCAACUCGACUCCGUGAAGCUGGAAUCGCUAGUAAUCGGAUAUCAGCCAUGAUCCGGUGAAUACGUUCCCGGGCCUUGUACACACCGCCCGUCAAGCCAUGGAAGUUGGGAGUGCCUGAAGUCCGUCACCGCAAGGAGCGGCCUAGGGUAAAGUCGAUAACUAGGGCUAAGUCGUAACAAGGUAGCCGUACCGGAAGGUGCGGCUGGAACACCUCCUUUCUAGAGAAAGACGACUAAAGGUAAACGUGAAGGAAAGAAAUUGUUUGUUCUCACAGCUGUUAAUUAAAAAGAUACCAAUAAAAAAAGUAGAGUCUCAUAGCUCAGCUGGUUAGAGCGCUACACUGAUAAUGUAGAGGUCGGCAGUUCGAGUCUGCCUGAGACUACUAGUUUUUAUUACAAUUGGAAAUUCUAGAAGUUUGAGUAGUAGUUAAGUACUAACUACUGACUACUAUGUACUAACUUUUAGUAUAUGGGGGAUUAGCUCAGCUGGCUAGAGCGCCUGCCUUGCACGCAGGAGGUCAUCGGUUCGACUCCGAUAUUCUCCACAACGGCUUAACGUUUAUAUUGAUUUAUCAUUAUAAAUUCGCCACACGAUCAUUGACAUAUUGAAAAAGAUACAUGAAACAUUAGAUAUUUAUAUCUAAUAGAAAAAGUAAAUUAAAAAUUGUUGCGAGCUAGCAAUAAUUAAGAGUAAACUCAUUAAAAAGACAAAAGUGCAAUAAGCUAAAUAAGGGCGUAUGGGGAAUGCCUAGGCUCUCAGAGGCGAUGAAGGACGUGAUAAGUUGCGAAAAGUUGCGGGGAUUGGCACAUACAAAUUGAUCCGCAAAUAU